GGUAGACUGGAGCUUUUUUCAGAGAAAAGGAACCGUCUAUUCCACUGGAAUCCUGCAAGUUGUUGCAUCCCGUUCUGAUUGGACAUAUCAGUCCCCGAGAUACCAGUUUCUGUCUUCCCUGAGGGAUCCCAGUCAGGGAAUUUCACAAUGUAGUCCGUGUUGUGAAAAGCUAUUCCAUCAGUACAGUUGUAGAUUGUAUGAUAAAGGAUCUCCCAAGCAGCUUCAAUUUGAUCAUUCACUUUACCAUAACGUCUAC
rnacentral:misc_RNA from 1 species